rnacentral:rRNA from 1 species
AUUGAACGCUGGCGGCAGGCCUAACACAUGCAAGUCGAGCGAGCGGCGGACGGGGGAGUAAUGUCUGGGAAACUGCCUGAUGGAGGGGGAUAACUACUGGAAACGGUAGCUAAUACCGCAUACCAUCAGAUGUGUCCCGAUGGGAUUAGCUAGUAGGUGGGGUAACGGCUCACCUAGGCGACGAUCCCUAGCUGGUCUGAGAGGAUGAUCAGCCACACUGGAACUGAGCCAGGGUCCAGGCUCCUACGUGAGGCAGCAGUGGGGAAUAUUGCACAAUGGGCGAAAGCCUGAUGCAGCCAUGCCGGGUGUGUGAAGAAGGCCUUCGGGUUGUAAAGCACUUUCAGCGGGGAGGCGUUACCCGCAGAAGAAGCACCGGCUAACUCCGUGCCAGCAGCCGCGGUAAAC